UGACUUGCCCCUGAAGGAUGAAAUUAAGUUGUUUGAGACCAUCACUUUGAUUUUACUCAACCAGCUAAGGAAGAAGUACUAUUAUUUUUGUACUGCGAAUUAAUCUACUGCACUGCACAAUGCUGACCUGUCACUCACAGUGACAACACAGACAAGGGGCCCACUUUGAUCUCCAGCAAGUUAAGGUUGCAAGCAGGAGUCAGUGUGGAGAUAGAGUUCCUACUGCAGACUCUGAGACACCGACACUCCGGGCUAGGGGAACAGCCAUCCUACGGCGAGCAGGGGAGGCGCCAGCAGGAUGAAAAAUGCUGAUGCUAGAAGAGAAACCAGAGAAACGGUGAAAGAAACGGAUGCUCCUGACCAUGUGCCUCCGAUUUGGCAAACGCGGAGUGGGAGUCCCUGGGACCUGGAGCAGCUCCUGUACUGACUCUUCACUCAGCUUCCCCUGCCUCGCUGUGUGACAGCACCAUCUUCACCUUACAGCCGCUCAGAAGAGUUCACCCACCGGCACAAGAGACAGAGCCAGCGAGAGGCUGGACCCGAGUGCCAGCCUUCUGAUCUCAUGUCUAGAUUCCUUCCCAGAUAGCUGACUCUCAGAAAUUGAAGUUGAUGCAUAGAACCUGUCCCAUUCACUCCACUGGAUCCUGACAAGGACCAAAUUCAAAGAGGCCAUAUUUAGGCUCCCAAGAUCUUUAGCAAUCGCAAAGCAUCUACACCUCCAGUAUGCCUCUGGAUGUAGAUCUACCAAGAAGAAAUGUGCUUGAGUAGAAUUCAGUUGCAACUUCUGCAGCCCCCUAGGGAAUGGCAACCUCCAAAGAAUGGAAUGUCUGAUUCCACAGAAGGUUGAGGGGGCCAGAGCUGUGGCUUAGUAUCUAAAGCCACCACCUGCAGUGCUGGCAUCCCAUAUGGUUGCUGGUUCGAGUCUCGGCUAUUUCACCUCUGAUCCAACUCUCUGCUAUGGCCUGGGGAAAGCAGUGGAAGGUGGUCCAAGUCCUUGGGCCCCUGUACCCACGUGGGAGACCUGGAGGAAGCUCCUGGCUCCUGGCUUCAGAUCAGCCCAGCUCUGGCUAUUGCAGCCAUUUGGGGAGUGAACAAGCGGAUGGAAGACCUCUAUCUCUCUGUGUCUCUCUUUCUCUCUCUUUGCCUUCACCUCUCUGUAACUAUGCCUUUCAAGUAAUAAAUGAAUAAA